GGUUAUUUCAAUAGCAAAUAAUGCAUGCUGGGCUAUUGGAGAACUUGCAGUUAAGAUGAACAUCACGAGAUUUCUGAGCACAAGGAAUGUGUAGCAGCUGUAAUUUUUGUGUGUAGAAGUAGAACCCACUACACUAGCCACUAAUAUCGGAUUGCCAAGAAGCUCUAAAGAACAAUCGUAAUUAGGAAUGUGCCUUAAUAAUACUAUUAUGAAAAUCUCACUUCCUGUUAUUAAUUAGUCACAGAUUUGAGUUAUCUUCUGUGGUCACCACAUUUUAAAGCAACAGC